rnacentral:misc_RNA from 1 species
GUGAAUCAUCGAAUUUUUGAACGCAUAUUGCACUCUCUGGUAUUCCGGAGAGUAUGCCUGUUUGAGGGUAAUUAAAAAGAAUCUUUAACCAAUUGUUUGGUCAAAGGAAAGGAGUUGUCCGCGUUUAGAGCGGUAGCUUGAAAGAAAUGGUAAAGUCACAUGGUAGUCGAGACGCGUAAUAAUAUUAUUUCGCGAAAACUUCAGAAUGUGACUAUCAAGGUUCGACGCAUA